CGUAGGGCGCAAGCGUUAUCCGGAAUUAUUGGGCGUAAAGAGCUUGUAGGCGGUUCGUCGCGUCUGGUGUGAAAGCCCCAUCGCUUAACGGUGGGUUUGCGCCGGGUACGGGCGGGCUAGAGUGCAGUAGGGAGACGUGGAAGUUCUCGGUGUAACGGUGGAAUGUGUAGAUAUCGGGAAGAACACCAAUAGGCGAAGGCAGGUCGUCUGGGCGUGUUACUUGACGCUGAGAAGACGAAAGCGUGGGGAGGCGAACAGGAUU
rnacentral:rRNA from 1 species